UGCAGAGACGAAGAGGGAUCUUCUUGGUAUAUUGGGUCUGUCAGUAGCUUUGAAAGAUGAGUUCUUUUUUUUUUAACCCAACUCGCUUAUGAUCAUUCAAGGCUUCAAACUCCUAAAUCUGAUUCUCAAAGUCUUGAUCUUUUGUUGCUUUUGAUUUACUUGCAGCACCUGUGUACUCAAUUGGACCAACUUAGGAGUGGAGUGCCUUCUGUGUAAUAAAAAGUUUCUGGUCAAGUUUUUCGGGCUUCCACUGACUUCAACCUUCGUCCCAUCGACUGUAUCUCUCUCUUCAACUGUUACACCCAAAUACCCAAAUCGCCGAUCCCAAUCGUGCCACCAUCUUCUGUAGCCGUAUAAGCGAGAUUGAGAGAGUUCGGUUCGUUGCUUUUGAUCUGUGGAUUUGGAAUUCCUUUCUUUGUUUCUGCUUAUUAUCUCCUCUAAUUUCAGAUUAACAUUGACUUCAAGACGUUUCCAUUUGAACAGGCUUCAGUUCAGUUGGUUGACUAGCACAAUUGGUUGGUGAGAGAAACAUUGGAAAAGGUCAAUACUCUCAGGAUAAUUUCUCUUUGAAAACUAAAGACUCUUCCAGUGGUUACUGAAAGUCCAGCUGAUCAACUGUUUAAGUUAGGACGAAAGAGGCGAAUGCGAAGAGGUCUUGGGACUAAUUUUCUGCUGCUGUUCCUUUGUUUUCUGCUCAGUGUUACCUGUGUUUUGUAUUGUUAAUCAUCUUUUGGGAACAGUUUGCAGUCAGACUCUUUGAUUGUUUUGGAUUCAGUCAUGGCAUCAGAUAUUCCAAAAAGAAAAGCGAAAAGAUCUUUGCAAGCUAAUUGUGUAGAAAAUGAUGAUCAUCAAGAACAACAUCAGAUCAAAUCAAGGAGGUGGAAGCAAGUAUGUCAACCGAUAAUGGUAGAAGGAGGUCAGAGUGCACAAACCAGCAAUAAAAGUCUAAACAUAUUGGAACAUCUUGAUAAAUGAAUUAGAAGGAAUCAACUCAAUCCAACUGUCAUUCUCGACCAAACUCUGUUUGCUCAUGGAAGUUCAAAUGAAGAUGGUACAAGUAUAAUCGGAGUGUCGCGGCAUUUAACAAGCAAUAAUUCUACUCAACUUGCAGAAAUCGAUGAAAUGAGAGGAGAGAAGAGAUACAAGUGAUGCUGUGGUAGAGUGGCUAACACAGUUUCUAAGGUGUCUCUGAAAUUCAUUUACUUGACUCUUAAGGCAGCUGCUACAACAUUUCUAUUCGUUUACGUUAGCACUCCCUGCUCCCUGCAACACUUGAUGUUGUCAUAGAAUGCUAUGAUAGAAUGUUAUUGUAAACUGCGAUAAUGUAAACCAAACAAUUUUAUAGAGAAGAAAUUUUGUCUCUUCUUUUAUCAUUGUGAUCAAGAAUCAAGUCUUUUCAUUCAUAUCUAUCAUUAUUGUAAAUUA